GACGUAGGGUGCGAGCGUUGUCCGGAUUUAUUGGGCGUAAAGAGCUCGUAGGCGGCUCGUCGCGUCGACCGUGAAAACCCGCGGCUUAACUGCGGGCUUGCGGUUGAUACGGGCGGGCUAGAGUUCGGUAGGGGAGACUGGAAUUCCUGGUGUAGUGGUGAAAUGCGCAGAUAUCAGGAGGAACACCGGUGGCGAAGGCGGGUCUCUGGGCCGAUACUGACGCUGAGGAGCGAAAGCGUGGGGAGCGAACAGG
rnacentral:rRNA from 1 species